GGUAGGAUUCAUGACUGGGGUGAAGUCGUAACAAGGUAGCCGUAUCGGAAGGUGCGGCUGGAUCACCUCCUUUCCAG
rnacentral:rRNA from 1 species